UGCGAAUAAGCAUCGGCUAACUCCGUGCCAGCAGCCGCGGUAAUACGGAGGAUGCGAGCGUUAUCCGGAUUUAUUGGGUUUAAAGGGUGCGUAGGCGGGAUAUUAAGUUAGUGGUCAAAUAGUAAGGCUUCACCUUAUUCAGCCAUUAAAACUGGUAUCCUAGAGUAUAGACGAGGUAGGCGGAAUAAGUUAAGUAGCGGUGAAAUGCUUAGAUAUAACUUAGAACACCGAUAGCGUAGGCAGCUUACCAGGCUAUAACUGACGCUGAAGCACGAGAGCGUGGGUAUCGAACAGGAUUGAGUACGUCGGCAACGAUGAAACUCAAAGGAAUUGACGGGGGCCCGCACAAGCGGAGGAACAUGUGGUUUAAUUCGAUGAUACGCGAGGAACCUUACCCGGGAUUAAAUGUAGAUUGUUUAUAUAGGAAACUUUAUAUCUCUUCGGAGCGAUUUACAAGGUGCUGCAUGGUUGUCGUCAGCUCGUGCCGUGAGGUGUCGGGUUAAGUCCCCUAACGAGCGCAACCCCUAUUUUUAGUUGCCAUCAGUUUAGCUGGGCACUCUAAAGAGACUGCCACCGUAAGGUGCGAGGAAGGCGGGGAUGACGUCAAAUCAGCACGGCCCUUACACCCGGGGCUACACACGUGUUACAAUGGCCGGUACAGAGGGCAGCUACCUGGUGACAGGAUGCGAAUCUCGAAAGUCGGUCGUAGUUCGGAUUGGAGUCUGCAACCCGACUCCAUGAAGUUGGAUUCGCUAGUAAUCGCGCAUCAGCCAUGGCGCGGUGAAUACGUUCCCGGGC
rnacentral:rRNA from 1 species